rnacentral:tRNA from 1 species
GGGGUCAUAGCUCAGUUGGUAGAGCAUCACGCUGGCAGCGUGAGGGUCUGCGGUUCGAAUCCGCAUGACUCCA